UUGUCUUGCAAAUAGUGUGGAAAACCAUAAACCAUUUUGAUCAUUGUUAUUACAUUGUUAUUGUUGUGAAACCACACGUAUUAUUUAGUCUUGUGAAGAAUCUUGUGGAUACAGAUACCAUCAAGAACAAACUUGAAGGAAAGGAUUAAGGAGCAAACUUCAUAGAGACAUAAGGACAAUCAUCAAAAGGAGGUUCAACAAUUUCCACAUAUGGAUUCAGGUUAGCUUCCGCUCAUGUAGUUUAAUUCCGGAUUAUUCAAUAUGAAGGUUGUUAUAUUUAGUUGGAAU
rnacentral:lncRNA from 1 species